GAUGAACGCUGGCGGCGUGCCUAAUACAUGCAAGUCGAGCGAAGCGGGGACGGGUGAGUAACACGUGGAUAACCUCCUAUAUGACUGGGAGAACUUAGGGAAACCGGAGAUCAAACCGAAGCUUAUAGAUGGAUCCGCGCUGUAUUAGCUAUUUGGUAAGGUAACGGCUUACCAAGGCAACGAUGCAUAGCGGAUCGUAGAGGGGGCUCGGCAACCCUGGACCUGGGCCACGGUCCCGCAUCCUACGGGGGGCAGCAGUAGGGAAUCUCGCGAAAGGGGCGAAAGCCUGACGGGGCAACGCCGCGUGAGUGAUGAAGGUCUUGGGUUCGUAAAACUCUUUUAUUAGGGAAGCGGUACCUAAUCAGAAAGCCACGGCUAACUACGUGCCAGCAGCCGCGGUAAUUC
rnacentral:rRNA from 1 species